UACGGGGGGGGCAAGCGUUGUUCGGAAUUACUGGGCGUAAAGGGCUCGUAGGCGGCCAACUAAGUCGGACGUGAAAUCCCCAGGCUCAACCUGGGAACUGCGUAUGAUACUGGAUGGCUUGAAUCCGGGAGAGGGAUGCAGAAUUCCAGGUGUAGCGGUGAAAUGCGUAGAUAUCUGGAGGAAUACCGGUGGCGAAGGCGGCAUCCUGGACCGGCAUUGACGCUGAGGAGCGAAAGCCAGGGGAGCAAACGGG
rnacentral:rRNA from 1 species